rnacentral:rRNA from 1 species
GCAAGUCGAACGAUCGCAAGAUAGUGGCGCACGGGUGAGGAACACGUAGCUAACCUGCCUUUGGGUCUGGGAUAACGUCGCGAAAGUGACGCUAAGACCGGAUAAGCUCCCGGGUUGUAGAGACCAGAGAGAAAAGGGGCAAGACGCCUGAAGAGGGGGCUGCGGCGCAUCAGCUAGUUGGUGGGGUAAAGGCCUACCAAGGCAACGACGCGUAAGGGGUCUGAGAGGAUGAUCCCUCACACUGGGACUGAGACACGGCCCAGGCUCCUACGGGAGGCAGCAGUGAGGAAUAUUGCACAAUGGGGGGAACCCUGAUGCAGCGACGCCGCGUGGGUGAUGACGGCCUUCGGGUUGUAGAGCCCUUUUGCCAUUGACGAGAACGGACGGUAGAUGGCGAAUAAGCCUCGGCUAACUACGUGCCAGCAGCCGCGGUAAAACGUAGGAGGCGAGCGUUAUCCGGAGUUACUGGGCGUAAAGCGUGCGCAGGCGGUGCCAUAAGUCAGGUGUGAAAGGUUCCGGCUCAACCGGGAAAACGCGCUUGAGACUGUGGGACUAGAGUGGGAUAGAGGGACGUGGAAUUCCGGGUGGAGCGGUGAAAUGUGUAGAGAUCCGGAGGAACACCAGAGGCGCAAGCGGCGUCCUGGGUCCCAACUGACGCUGAGGCACGAAAGCUUGGGGAGCGAACGGGAUUAGAGACCCCGGUAGUCCAAGCCGUAAACGAUGCAGACUCGGUGUCCACUCUCGCAAGGGAGGGGGCGCCACAGCUAACGCGAUAAGUCUGCCGCC